GGUUAAGUGGCACCCAGUGGGCUUUACACCAGAGGGAAUGGUGAAAAAGCUCCAGUGCUUUUGCAGAUAUUUGUGUCAAAUGCUCCAUACCUGAGGUGUUCUGAGGCAAGCUCAGGGAGGACAGAAACUUAGGCAGCAUAAAGGGCAAAAGUACACUUAAUCUUGAUUUCCAGUGUAAUUACAGGACAUGCUAGUGUGGCCUCACUAUCUUCUGACUUUCUAGGUUUUAAGCAAGAGUUGUCAGAGAAGUCACCACAGAGAAAACCAUCUUGUGGCAGUCAACUAUUAGGGAAAUUUCUUCAACUCUUUGAUGUUGACUUUUCCUGCCACCACAAAACAGAAUUCACCAAGUGUUGAUUGAUUCAGCCAUUAGCAAUGAACAUGAGCUGGGUUUAGAUAGCCAUGAGACAAGUUAGUUUUAUCCU
rnacentral:ncRNA from 1 species